rnacentral:rRNA from 1 species
UACGUAGGGGGCAAGCGUUGUCCGGAAUCAUUGGGCGUAAAGAGCGUGUAGGCGGCUCGAUAAGUCUGCUGUGAAAGUCCAGGGCUCAACCCUGGAAGGCCGGUGGAAACUGUCGGGCUAGAGUCCGGAAGAGGCGAGUGGAAUUCCUGGUGUAGCGGUGAAAUGCGCAGAUAUCAGGAGGAACACCCGUGGCGAAAGCGGCUCUCUGGGACGGUACUGACGCUGAGACGCGAAAGCGUGGGGAGCAAACAGG